rnacentral:rRNA from 1 species
AAAUUGAAGAGUUUGAUCAUGGCUCAGAUUGAACGCUGGCGGCAGGCCUAACACAUGCAAGUCGAGCGGUAGCACAGAGAGCUUGCUCUCGGGUGACGAGCGGCGGACGGGUGAGUAAUGUCUGGGAAACUGCCUGAUGGAGGGGGAUAACUACUGGAAACGGUAGCUAAUACCGCAUAACGUCGCAAGACCAAAGUGGGGGACCUUCGGGCCUCAUGCCAUCAGAUGUGCCCAGAUGGGAUUAGCUAGUAGGUGGGGUAAUGGCUCACCUAGGCGACGAUCCCUAGCUGGUCUGAGAGGAUGACCAGCCACACUGGAACUGAGACACGGUCCAGACUCCUACGGGAGGCAGCAGUGGGGAAUAUUGCACAAUGGGCGCAAGCCUGAUGCAGCCAUGCCGCGUGUAUGAAGAAGGCCUUCGGGUUGUAAAGUACUUUCAGCGAGGAGGAAGGCNGAUUGACGUUACUCGCAGAAGAAGCACCGGCUAACUCCGUGCCAGCAGCCGCGGUAAUACGGAGGGUGCAAGCGUUAAUCGGAAUUACUGGGCGUAAAGCGCACGCAGGCGGUCUGUCAAGUCGGAUGUGAAAUCCCCGGGCUCAACCUGGGAACUGCAUUCGAAACUGGCAGGCUAGAGUCUUGUAGAGGGGGGUAGAAUUCCAGGUGUAGCGGUGAAAUGCGUAGAGAUCUGGAGGAAUACCGGUGGCGAAGGCGGCCCCCUGGACAAAGACUGACGCUCAGGUGCGAAAGCGUGGGGAGCAAACAGGAUUAGAUACCCUGGUAGUCCACGCCGUAAACGAUGUCGACUUGGAGGUUGUGCCCUUGAGGCGUGGCUUCCGGAGCUAACGCGUUAAGUCGACCGCCUGGGGAGUACGGCCGCAAGGUUAAAACUCAAAUGAAUUGACGGGGGCCCGCACAAGCGGUGGAGCAUGUGGUUUAAUUCGAUGCAACGCGAAGAACCUUACCUACUCUUGACAUCCAGAGAACUUAGCAGAGAUGCUUUGGUGCCUUCGGGAACUCUGAGACAGGUGCUGCAUGGCUGUCGUCAGCUCGUGUUGUGAAAUGUUGGGUUAAGUCCCGCAACGAGCGCAACCCUUAUCCUUUGUUGCCAGCGGUCCGGCCGGGAACUCAAAGGAGACUGCCAGUGAUAAACUGGAGGAAGGUGGGGAUGACGUCAAGUCAUCAUGGCCCUUACGAGUAGGGCUACACACGUGCUACAAUGGCAUAUACAAAGAGAAGCGACCUCGCGAGAGCAAGCGGACCUCAUAAAGUAUGUCGUAGUCCGGAUUGGAGUCUGCAACUCGACUCCAUGAAGUCGGAAUCGCUAGUAAUCGUAGAUCAGAAUGCUACGGUGAAUACGUUCCCGGGCCUUGUACACACCGCCCGUCACACCAUGGGAGUGGGUUGCAAAAGAAGUAGGUAGCUUAACCUUCGGGAGGGCGCUUACCACUUUGUGAUUCAUGACUGGGGUGAAGUCGUAACAAGGUAACCGUAGGGGAACCUGCGGUUGGAUCACCUCCUUACCUUAAAGAA